UGGUGCCAGCAGCCGCGGUAAUUCCAGCUCCAAUAGCGUAUAUUAAAGUUAGUUGUCAGUUAAAAAGACUCGUAGUUGGAUCUCGGGUACUAGCAUGUGGUACGCUUAACUGCGUUACUACAUGUCUGGUCCUAAUCAACCGGUUGGCCGUUGAUGCCCUUUAUUGGGUGUUUUCGGUAGCCGGUACGUUUACUUUGAGAAAAUUAGAGUGCUUAAAGCAGGCCUUACGCCUGAAUAAUGUUGCAUGGAAUAAUAGAAUAGGACCUCGGUUCUAUUUUGUUGGUUUUGUAGAGCAUUGAGGUAAUGAUUAAUAGGGGACAGACGGGGGCAUUCGUAUUGCGGUGUUAGAGGUGAAAUUCUUGGAUCGCCGCAAGACGAACAACUGCGAAAGCAUUUGCCAAGAAUGUUUUCAUUAAUCAAGAACGAAAGUUGGAGGUUCGAAGACGAUUAGAUACCGUCCUAGUUCCAACCAUAAACGAUGCCAACUAGCGAUUAGCUGCUGUUAAUUAAACGACACAGCUAGCAGCUUCCGGGAAAA
rnacentral:rRNA from 1 species